GGCCAGGGCGGGGUCUCGGGCAGUCUCCUGUGGAUCCCGAGUGGAGCCGGCCGCCGCGAGAGUGCCCUGAGCCCGUGGAGUCGCCGCGCCCCGCAGCCGCCCAGGCUGGUCCCCCGCCUUGAGUAUGGGUCCCGUGGGAAUGGGGAGUCGCUGGGCCCUGGGCCAGCCGCGGGCCGGCCUCUGCCUGCUCCUGGUGUCUCUGCAGCUUCUCCCCCGGACGCAGGCCGCAGACCCUGUGGAUGUGCUGAAGGCCCUGGGCGUGCGGGGGGGCCAGGCUGGGCUCCCCGAGGGUCCCGGCCUCUGCCCCCAGAGGGUCCCGCAGGGCGACCGGGCAUUCAGGGUGGGCAAGGCCAGCACGCUCAGUGUCCCCACGUGGGAGCUCUUUCAAGCCGAGCACUUUCCCGAGAGCUUCUCCGUGCUGAUCACUCUGCGUGGCCGGCCAGCCAACCAGUCUGUCCUUCUAUCCGUCUACAAUGAGGCCGGUGUCCGGCAGCUGGGCCUGGCGUUGGGGCCGGCUCUGGACCUCCUAGGUGACUCCUUCAGCCCCCUCCCCCAGCAGGUCAACCUCACGGACGGCAGGUGGCGCCGUGUGGCGGUCAGUGUGGAUGGUGGGAUGGUGACCCUGGUGGCUGACUGUGAACCUCAGCCCCCCGUAUUGAGCCAGGGACCUCGAUUCAUCAGCACGGCUGGACUUACUGUGCUGGGGACCCAGGACCUCGGGGAGGAGACUUUUGAGGGAGAUAUUCAGGAGCUGCUGAUAAGCUCAGAUCCUCAGGCUGCCUUCCGAGCCUGUGAGCAGUACCUUCCUGGCUGUGACGACCUGGAUCCUGGAGCCACAGGGGUACCCCAGCGGGAGCCAGAAACCCCUCCCCGUCGGCGGAAGGGGAAGGGAAAAGGGAAGAAAAAAGGGCGAGGUCGUAAGGGGAAGGGCAGGAAGAAGAAGAACAAGGAAGUUUUGGCCCUGAGCCCACCUCCCGUCUCCCUGGAGAACCAGACCUCCGCUGACAUCCCCAAGACAGAGACACCAGCUCCAACUCUGCCUCCAACUCCCACGCCUUUGGUCAUCACCACGACUGUGGCCAUAGGCAGCAACGUCACCGUCCUAGAGGAGAGCUUGGACCCCGACAAUGGAACUGAACUGGAGACCAUGGAGACUGAGUUAGCCAGAGAAGAAGAAGAAGAAGGUGGUCCCACCAUGGGCCCCCACUUCCGGGCAGCAGAACAGUCAUGGAGAACUGAGUUGCAGAUCUUCCCUGGCGCUGGGGAGAAGGGAGAAAAAGGAGAACCGGCCGUGAUUGAACAGGGACAGCAGUUUGAAGGACUUCCAGGAGGCCCAGGACCCCAAGGGGUGGUUGGCCCCUCAGGUCCUCCUGGCCCGCCAGGAUUCCCUGGGGACCCUGGUCUACCGGGCCCCGCUGGCCUCCCAGGAAUCCCUGGCGUUGAUGGGAUCCGGGGUCUACCAGGCACUGUGAUCAUGAUACCGUUCCAGUUUGCAAGAGGCUCCCUCAAAGGACCCCCAGUCUCCUUCCAGCAGGCCCAGGCUCAGGCAGUCCUGCAACAGGCUCAGCUCUCUAUGAAAGGCCCCCCUGGCCUGGUGGGGCUCACCGGGCGCCCAGGCCCCACGGGUCUCCCUGGGUAUCCAGGUCUAAAAGGAGAGAUGGGAGAAAUGGGGCCACAGGGCCCCCGAGGACUUCAGGGACCUCGUGGACCCCCUGGCAGACAGGGAAAGAUGGGCCGCCCUGGAGCAGAUGGGGCUCGAGGCCUCCCAGGGGACACAGGACCUAAGGGUGAUCAGGGCUUUGACGGCUUGCCAGGGCUGCCUGGAGAGAAGGGCCAGAGGGGUGACUUUGGUCAUGUGGGGCAACCUGGCCCCCCAGGAGAGGAUGGUGAGAAGGGAGCAGAGGGACCUCCGGGGCCCACCGGCCAGGCUGGGGAGCCGGGCCCCCGAGGACUGAUUGGUCCUAGAGGCUCCCCUGGCCCCUUGGGACGCCCGGGUGUAGUUGGAAGUGACGGUGCUCCAGGUGCCAAAGGAAAUGUGGGUCCUCCAGGAGAACCAGGCCCCCCAGGACAGCAGGGAAAUCCCGGGUCCCAGGGAAUCCCCGGCCCCCAGGGACCCAUUGGCACUCCUGGGGAGAAGGGUCCCCCUGGGAACCCAGGAAUUCCAGGCCUCCCAGGAUCUGAUGGCCCUCUGGGUCACCCAGGUCAUGAGGGCCCAACAGGAGAGAAAGGGGCCCAGGGUCCAGCAGGGUCGGCAGGCCCUCCGGGCUAUCCUGGACCUCGGGGUGUGAAGGGUACCUCUGGCAACCGGGGCCUCCAGGGGGAGAAAGGAGAGAAGGGAGAGGAUGGCUUCCCAGGCUUCAAGGGUGAUGUAGGGCUUAAAGGCGAUUGGGGGCAACCCGGACCCCCAGGUCCUCGGGGAGAGGAUGGUCCUGAAGGGCUGAAGGGGCAGGUGGGACUUGCUGGUGAGGAGGGGCCCCCAGGCUCAGCUGGGGAGAAGGGCAAGCUUGGGGUGCCGGGUCUCCCAGGUUACCCAGGACGUCCAGGCCCUAAGGGAUCUAUUGGCUUUCCCGGGCCCCUGGCACCAUUAGGAGAAAAAGGGAAGCGGGGGAAGGCUGGGCAGCCAGGCCUGGAAGGAGAGCGGGGACCACCAGGCUCCCGUGGAGAGAGGGGGCAACCAGGUGCCACAGGGCAACCAGGCCCCAAGGGUGAUGUGGGCCAGGACGGAGCCCCUGGGUUCCCUGGAGAAAAGGGCCUCCCAGGUCUGCAAGGCCCUCCUGGGUUCUCUGGACCAAAGGGUCCCCCUGGCCCCCAAGGGAAAGACGGGCAACGUGGGCACCCUGGACCUAGAGGAGAAUUGGGCUUCCAAGGUCAGACAGGCCCACCUGGACCAGCUGGUGUCGUGGGUCCUCAGGGAAAGACGGGAGAAGCAGGGCCUCUGGGUGAGAGGGGGCCCCCAGGCCCCCCUGGAUCUCCUGGUGAACAAGGUCUUCCGGGCCUGGAAGGCAGAGAGGGGGCCAAGGGGGACCUGGGACCACUGGGACCCUUUGGGAAGGAAGGGCCACCUGGACACAGGGGCUUCCCUGGUCCCCAAGGAGCCCCCGGGGACCCAGGACCUACUGGUUUGAAGGGUGACAAGGGCCCCCCCGGCCCCGUCGGGGCUAACGGUUCCCCUGGGGAGCGCGGUCCUGUAGGCCCAGCAGGGGGCAUUGGGCUUCCUGGCCAAAGUGGAGGCCAAGGUCCUGUUGGCCCUGCAGGCGAGAAGGGGUACCCGGGUGAACGCGGCCCCCCUGGUCCCACUGGCAAAGACGGAAUCCCAGGGCCCCUGGGGCUUCCUGGAUCCCCUGGAGCUGUGGGGCCUUCUGGCGAGGAAGGGGACAAGGGAGAAGUGGGAGCCCCAGGUCACAAAGGCAACAAAGGCGAUAAGGGGGAUGCGGGCCCACCUGGACCAACAGGGAUACGGGGUCUUGUGGGACACCCAGGCUCCCCGGGGGCAGAUGGGGCUCAGGGACGCCGGGGACCUCCAGGCCUCUUUGGGCAGAAAGGAGAUGAUGGAGUGAGAGGCUUCAUGGGGGUGAUUGGCCCCCCUGGCCUGCAGGGGAUGCCAGGCCCUCCUGGAGAAAAGGGGGAAGUUGGAGACGUAGGGUCCAUGGGUCCCCAUGGAGCUCCAGGCCCUCGGGGUCCCCCGGGCCCCAGCGGAUCAGAGGGUCCUCCAGGGCUGCCUGGGGGAGUUGGUCAGCCUGGAGCCGUGGGCGAGAAGGUGAGAGAGAGAGAGAACCGGAGUCUGCCUGGGGGUGAGCCAGGGGAGCCUGGAGACCCGGGACCCCCAGGAAUCCCAGGCAUCCCUGGGCCCAAGGGAGAAAUUGGUGAAAAGGGGGAUGCAGGCCCAUCUGGGGCAGCUGGACCCCCGGGCAAGAAAGGCCCCCCCGGAGAGGAUGGAGCAAAAGGGAACGUGGGCCUCACAGGGCUCCCAGGAGACCUAGGCCCCCCCGGAGACCCUGGGGUUUCGGGUCAAGACGGCCCCCCAGGGGAGAAGGGAGACCCUGGAGAUGUGGGGGGACUGGGUCCACCUGGUGCUUCUGGGGAACCCGGUCCCUCUGGGCCCCCUGGCAAAAGGGGUCCUUCUGGUCGCACGGGUCGAGAAGGCAGAGAAGGGGAGAAAGGUACCAAGGGGGAACCAGGUCCUGACGGGCCCCCAGGGAGGACAGGCCCAGUGGGGACUCGAGGGCCCCCUGGGCGUGUCGGGCCUGAGGGUCUUCGAGGGAUCCCCGGCCCUGUGGGUGAAGCAGGCCUGCUGGGACCUCCUGGACAGUUGGGCCCUCCUGGCCCCCUGGGGCCCUCUGGCCUCCCAGGGCUGAAGGGAGAUGCUGGCCUCAAGGGGGAAAAGGGCCACAUCGGAUUAAUUGGUCUCGUUGGCCCCCCUGGGGAGGCUGGUGAGAAAGGGGAUCAGGGUUUGCCAGGAGUGCAAGGCCCCCCUGGCCUCCAGGGAGAACCUGGUUCCCCUGGUCCCAUCGGCUCUCUGGGCCACCCUGGACCCCGAGGUGUGGUGGGUCCUCCAGGACAGAAAGGUUCAAAGGGGUCCCUGGGAUCCCAAGGUCCCCGCGGAGACACUGGACCCCCAGGUCCCCCCGGCCCCCAGGGUCCAUCUGCGCAGCUGCACGGGCUGCGCCGGCGCCGGCGCUCGGUCCCGAGCCCGGGAGUCCCGGAGGGCGGCCUGGAGGAGGUGCUGGCCUCGAUCACGUCGCUGAGCUUCGAACUGGAGCAGCUGCGACGCCCUCCGGGCACGGCUGAGAACCCGGGCCUCGUGUGCAGCGAGUUGCACCGCAACCACCCGCAUUUGCCCGACGGGGAAUACUGGAUUGACCCCAAUCAGGGCUGCGCGCGGGAUGCGCUCAGGGUUUUCUGCAACUUCACGGCGGGAGGAGAGACCUGCCUUUACCCAGACAAGAAGUUUGAGACCGUGAAACUGGCCUCCUGGUCCAGAGAAAAGCUGGGAAGCUGGUAUAGCACAUUCCGUCGAGGGAAGAAGUUCUCCUACGUGGAUGCUGAUGGGGCCCCGGUGAGUGUGGUGCAGUUGACCUUCCUGAAGUUGCUGAGUGCCACAGCCCGCCAGAGCUUCACAUACUCCUGCCAGAACUCGGCUGCCUGGCUGGACGAAGCUGCAGGAGACCAUGGCCGCUCUGUCAGUUUCCUUGGGACCAACGGGGAGGAGCUGUCCUUCAACCAGACGGCAGCAGCCACCAUCACUGUCCCCUACGACGGCUGCAGGCUCCGGAAGGGACAGACGAAGACCCUCUUCCAGUUCAGCUCUUCCCGAGUGGGAUUUCUGCCCUUAUGGGAUGUGGCGUCUGCUGACUUUGGCCAGACGAACCAGAAAUUUGGGUUUGAACUGGGCCCCGUCUGCUUUAGCAGCUGAGAGCUUCACGGGUGGGAGGGAAAAUGAGGGAGCCCCAGAUGGGGCACAUUUGGUGCUGAGGCUUUGAAGCCAUCACAUUUAUCGUCUCCUGGGACUGUGGAGCCAGGAGACAGUCUGCUCAUCACCGUCAAACAGUAUUCCUUCUCCAUUCCGGGGGUCUGGAGGCUGGACUCCCCUGGCCUAUGAGUCCCAUUUCCCUGCACUUCACCCCGGCUGGCAUAACUGUAGUCUGGCUCUGUCUCCCCUUCAUGCUCACCCGAUGCUCAACUCCCUCCCCUGACCCCCAUGCAAUGAACUUCUAACCCAGAGCUGAUGAAUGCCCCCCAUGCCUGCCUCGCACCCCUCAGUCAGUGCUCUCAACACCCUUUGGUGCUACCUUCCGCAUAGUUAAGCACUGGAUGUCUCCUGAUCCCAGGCUGGGACCUCUUCACUCAUUCCUAUUUUCAGGGUAUUCACAGACUUGUGCAACCAUAACCACAAUCACUUUGGAACAUUUUCGUCCCCUCAGAAAGAAAUCCCAUAUCCGUGAGCAGUCACCCAUCAUCUCCUCCAAACCUCUUGGUGGUAGGAAACCACUAAUCUUUCUGUUGCCUGUUCUCCACAUUUCAUAUAAAUGGAAUCAUACAAUAUGUGGUCCUUUAUGUCUGGCUUCUUUCAUUUAGCAUAAUAAUGUCACAGUUCAUGUUGCAGAAUGCAUCAGAACUUCAUUCCUUGUUAUUGUUGAAUAAUAAUUUACUGCAUUUUGUUUAUCCAUUCAGCACUUGGUAGACAUUGUUGAGUUAGGAGUGAUGGAGGGCUGGUGUGAGUUAAGUUGGAUCAGGUGGGAUUGUGUGGGUAGAGGUAGCAGGUUGGAGUGAAUUGCUUCCCUCAAACCCAGGGCUUGGGACUUCCCUGGUGGUGCAGUGGUUAAGAAUCCACCUGACAACGCAGGGGACAUGGGUUUGAGCCCUGGUCCCGGAAGAUCCCACAUGCCGUGGAGCAACUGAGCCCGUGCGCCACAACUACUGAGCCUGCACUCUGGAGCCCGCGAGCCACAACUAUUGAAGACCGCAAGCCACAACUACUGAAGCCCACAUGCCUAGAGCCCGUGCUCCGCAACAAGAGAAGACACCGCAAUGAGAAGCCCAUGCACCGCAACGAAGAGUAACCCCUGCUCACCGCAACUAGAGAAAGCCCAUGCCCAGCAACAAAGACCCAAUGUAGCCAAAAAUAAAU